UACGAGAGGCGCAAACGUUAUUCGGAUUUACUGGGCUUAAAGAGUUCGUAGGCGGCGCAGGAAGUAGGGUGUGAAAGCCCUCGGCUCAACCGAGGAAUUGCGCUCUAAACUACUGUGCUUGAGGGACCUAGAGGUGAGCGGAACUGAUGGUGGAGCGGUGAAAUGCGUUGAUAUCAUCAGGAACACCGGAGGCGAAGGCGGCUCACUGGGGGUCUUCUGACGCUGAGGAACGAAAGCCAGGGGAGCGAACGGG
rnacentral:rRNA from 1 species